CUGCGAAAUGGCGAGGUCAGGCCGCGCACGCGGGCUUCGAUCUCGCGCAUCUUGGCCUCCGGGUCUGACGCCGCUUCGAUCUCGGCUUUGUAGGCCA
rnacentral:tRNA from 1 species